rnacentral:rRNA from 1 species
UACGUAGGGUGCGAGCGUUGUCCGGAAUUAUUGGGCGUAAAGAGCUUGUAGGCGGUUUGUCGCGUCUGCUGUGAAAAUCCGGGGCUCAACCCCGGACUUGCAGUGGGUACGGGCAGGCUAGAGUGUGGUAGGGGAGACUGGAAUUCCUGGUGUAGCGGUGAAAUGCGCAGAUAUCAGGAGGAGCACCGGUGGCGAAGGCGGGUCUCUGGGCCGAUACUGACGCUGAGGAGCGAAAGCGUGGGGAGCGAACAGG